UACGUAGGGUGCAAGCGUUGUCCGGAAUUAUUGGGCGUAAAGAGCGUGUAGGCGGCCCGAUUAGUCCGCUGUGAAAGUCCAGGGCUCAACCCUGGAAUGCCGGUGGAUACUGUCGGGCUAGAGUCCGGAAGGGGCGAGUGGAAUUCCUGGUGUAGCGGUGAAAUGCGCAGAUAUCAGGAAGAACACCGAUGGCGAAGGCAGGUCUCUGGGCUGACACUGACGCUCAUGCACGAAAGCGUGGGGAGCAAACAGG
rnacentral:rRNA from 1 species